GAUAUAAAAGAAUAAAAGCUUCUAACUUUUAAAUUAAAAAUUAUCC
rnacentral:tRNA from 1 species